GGCAGUUUUGUUUUCCGUAUAUAUAUAUACUUGACGUUUCCCAGAAAUUGAAUUGAAAUGAAAAUAUGUUUAAAAUGAAAUGCAUAUGAGUUAUGUGGAAAAACGGGAAGUGAAAUACCAUGCAUAGAAUUGAUAUGAAAAGUAUAUAGAAAUGUGAGUUGAAAUGCCAUGCAUGAAUUAAUAUAUGAUGCAUAUGUAUGAAUUGGUGCGGUGGACGCACAUGUAAGAAUUGAUUUAUGAUGCAUAUGUAUGAAUUGGUGCGGUGGACGCACAGGUAAGAAUUGAUUUAUGAUGCAUAUGUAUGAAUUGGUGCGGUGGACGCACAGGUAAGAAUUGAUUUAUGAUGCAUAUGUAUGAAAUGGUGCGGUGGACGCACAGAUGAGUAUUUAAUUACUGUUAUGAUGAUGAUGAUAUAUAUUGAGCUCAAAUCCUGCACCAUGGUUUAGUGCUUAUAGUAUUCACCGCAUCGCACGCUCGCCUUGGAUCCAAGUAGAUGCUAGUCGUACAGUCCACGCGGAGUGGGUACGACAGACCAGUCGCGAGAGUGUUAGUGAGAUUCCGACUGGUGGGUGACCUUAGAUUAUGUGCACAGAUGAUUUAUGAGAAGCACUAGAGCGUAACUUGUGUGCAGAAGGCCGGACGGGUCACAGAGGUGACUCCGGUAGAGUGAUAAUGAUAGAUUUUGAGCUCUAGGUUCAACCGUAUAGGGCUAUUAGAGGGCCUACGGUUGAUUACUUUCUUGCACCUGAUAUGAUUAUGUUGAUGCAUUCAUACCUUAUUACUGUUGAGAUGAUGUGGCAUGGCAUAAUUAAUAUGAGAAAAUGUUGAGAUGACAUGGCAUGGCAUGAUUGAUAAAGAGAUAAUGUUGAG
rnacentral:lncRNA from 1 species